rnacentral:rRNA from 1 species
GAUGAACGCUGGCGGCGUGCUUAACACAUGCAAGUCGAACGAUGAAGCCCAGCUUGCUGGGUGGAUUAGUGGCGAACGGGUGAGUAACACGUGAGUAACCUGCCCUUAACUCUGGGAUAAGCCUGGGAAACUGGGUCUAAUACCGGAUAGGAGCGUCCACCGCAUGGUGGGUGUUGGAAAGAUUCAUCGGUUUUGGAUGGACUCGCGGCCUAUCAGCUUGUUGGUGAGGUAAUGGCUCACCAAGGCGACGACGGGUAGCCGGCCUGAGAGGGUGACCGGCCACACUGGGACUGAGACACGGCCCAGACUCCUACGGGAGGCAGCAGUGGGGAAUAUUGCACAAUGGGCGCAAGCCUGAUGCAGCGACGCCGCGUGAGGGAUGACGGCCUUCGGGUUGUAAACCUCUUUCAGUAGGGAAGAAGCGAAAGUGACGGUACCUGCAGAAGAAGCACCGGCUAACUACGUG